rnacentral:lncRNA from 1 species
CGAAUGGCAGCAACUAUGGCAACCCUUAAUGCCAACUGCUUGAGCCCCAACACCCACAGAGUUAUCAACACUUUGAAACCAAAGCCGGUAUCCCUUCUGUCCAUGCAAAACCUCCCAAAAGGCCUCCUCACAACAUCAAGAAAAGCACCAGACUCAAUCUUGUCCAAUCCGCUAACCGGAACAGCCCUUGCUGGCGCAAUUUUCUCAACCUUGAGCUCAUGUGAUGCUGCCUUUGCAGCUCAACAAAUCGCCGAAAUUGCAGAAGGCGAUAACCGUGGUCUGGCACUUCUCCUCCCAAUUCUGCCAGCCAUAGCUUGGGUGCUCUACAACAUCCUCCAACCAGCACUCAAUCAGUUCAACCAAAUGAGGAGUUCAAAAGGGGUCAUCAUAGGCCUUGGCCUGGGAGGUUUGGCUGCAUCAGGGUUCAUCCACACACCUCAGGCAUCAGCUGCUAGUGAGAUUGCAGCCAUAGCUGAAGCAACCGGUGACAACAGGGGUCAGCUUUUGCUGUUUGUUAUUGCUCCUGCAAUUAUUUGGGUGCUCUACAACAUCUUGCAGCCAGCUUUGAAUCAGAUCGACAGGAUGAGAUCUUAGUAUUCCCGUUGGGG